rnacentral:rRNA from 1 species
GUAGGUGGCAAGCGUUGUCCGGAAUUAUUGGGCGUAAAGCGCGCGCAGGCGGGUUCUUUAAGUCUGAUGUGAAAGCCCACGGGCUCAACCGUGGAGGGUCAUUGGAAACUGGAGAACUUGAGUACAGAAGAGGAAAGCGGAAUUCCACGUGUAGCGGUGAAAUGCGUAGAGAUGUGGAGGAACACCAGUGGCGAAGGCGGCUUUCUGGUCUGUAACUGACGCUGAGGCGCGAAAGCGUGGGGAGCAAACAGGAUUAGAUACCCUGGUAGUCCACGCCGUAAACGAUGAGUGCUAAGUGUUAGGGGGUUUCCGCCCCUUAGUGCCGCAGCUAACGCAUUAAGCACUCCGCCUGGGGAGUACGGCCGCAAGGCUG